rnacentral:lncRNA from 1 species
UGCCCCAUUUUGAAUUGUAACAGCUCUGUGAAAAAUAAAAUAAAGAUCUAAAAAGCAAUCAUAUAUAUUUGCAGGAAAUGCCCUUUCACACACUAUAUCAAUUGGCAAGGAAUGAUUCUAUCAAAUGCUAUUGACUUCUUUUUCAUAUAUGGAGUACAUGUUUUUGUGGAUUUUAUGAAUAUAGAUAAUCCACAAAAUGCAGUGUUGAACAAAAUUCACUUUUCUUGUGGACUUACAUUGAAAUCUUGUCAUAACUUUGAAAUUAAGUAUCCACAAAUUUCUUAAUCGACAAAAACUGGUAUCUUUAAUGAAAAAAUAAAUAAAUAAUUCACUGUAAUUGUUCCUGAGAAUAUCAAAUAUUAACCAAACUUGAUAAUUUCCUUAAUAAAUAAUUUAUAAAAUUCAUAGUUAUGUAUUAAAAAUUGUUUUAACAGUUAACAGUUAUGUCUCAACCAAC